rnacentral:miRNA from 1 species
AUGGGUGAUGGGUGUGGUGU